AUUGAACGCUGGCGGCAUGCCUUACACAUGCAAGUCGAACGGCAGCACGGGUGCUUGCACCUGGUGGCGAGUGGCGAACGGGUGAGUAAUACAUCGGCACAUGUCCUUUAGUUGGGGAUAGCCCGGCGAAAGCCGGAUUAAUACCGCAUACGAUCUACGGAUGAAAGCGGGGGACCUUCGGGCCUCGCGCUAUAGGGUUGGCCGAUGGCUGAUUAGCUAGUUGGUGGGGUAAAGGCCUACCAAGGCGACGAUCAGUAGCUGGUCUGAGAGGACGACCAGCCACACUGGGACUGAGACACGGCCCAGACUCCUACGGGAGGCGGCAGUGGGGAAUUUUGGACAAUGGGCGAAAGCCUGAUCCAGCAAUGCCGCGUGUGUGAAGAAGGCCUUCGGGUUGUAAAGCACUUUUGUCCGGAAAGAAAUCCUUGGCCCUAAUACGGUCGGGGGAUGACGGUACCGGAAGAAUAAGCACCGGCUAACUACGUG
rnacentral:rRNA from 1 species